GACAGAGGGUGCGAACGUUGUUCGGAAUUACUGGGCGUAAAGCGCACGCAGGCGGAUGCGCGCGUGGGGUGUGAAAUCUGGCCGCUUAACGGCCAGGCGCCAUCCCAUACGGCGCGUCUGGAGUAAUGCAGAGGUCGAUGGAAUUGCCGGUGUAGUGGUGAAAUGCGUAGAGAUCGGCAGGAACACCCAGGGGGAAACCAGUCGACUGGGCAUCUACUGACGCUGAGGUGCGAGAGCGUGGGGAGCGAACCGG
rnacentral:rRNA from 1 species